GGGGAAGUGGUUAUCUCUUUCCUGACUUGUAAAGGUAUUGAAUUACCAAUUAACAUUUCAAAAGGGUAAAGCUUAUCCCACUGUAAGAAAAGCAAACAUGAGCUUGGUCACAUGACCCCUGGUCACCAUAUUAGUUUGAUGACAGAAUGUCACCACAUUCCCUCACUUUUUCUUCUCUUAUGUUGAGCACAUUUAUUUAUCCCUUCUAUCUAAACUAUGAGAUCUGAAGUAGGAAAGGGGAGCACAGGAAUUAUAGUGAGUGAUAUAAGCAGGGUGAAAGAAAACAGUCAAAUAGGGGUUGCAUCACCCCACAUUCCCCCACUUUUUCUUCUUUUAUGUUGCUCCGUUAUCUAGUUAUCCCUCUAGUACAGGAAAACCUAGUGGGAGCAAAAACCUGAUAUACAGGAGAAAUUCAACCCACCGUCCCUCCGGAAUAGUUCCCUCAGCGACAUAAGU
rnacentral:lncRNA from 1 species